ensembl:snoRNA small nucleolar RNA SNORA8
CGCACUGCGUGGUAUCUGCAUCCAACUGCUUCUCCAGUUAGAUUGUUCAUUAGUCAGUGCAAGAGCGACUCUACAUAUGGCAUCGUUGGUCUCCAAGCUUUUUUAUGUGUGUCUGUAGACCUGGUAUUUCUGCUGAGACAAAG